rnacentral:lncRNA from 1 species
UUCAUCUGGAAACUCAGGUGUCUGUUAUGUGUUUGCAUGAUGUAAGCAUUCCGGACAUUGCUGUGCUUUAAAUAAGAAUAAUAACAGGAUGGAAAGGACGGACAUAAAACCAGAGGUUAUCCAGAAAACAUCAAAGAAUAACACACACCCUGUGAAACAGCCACAAGAAUGGAUGAUGUGGUUCAUUGGGUAUGAUGCACCCAAGGACCUCACUCCUGUGAUGGAUGCCAUUCCUGCCUCAGAAAACUAUGUGAUCAGUUUGUCAAGGGUAAGUUUAAUAGCAUAGGAACAGUCCACGUAAUAUUAUUUUAGUUUAUUUUUUGAAGGAAAAAUGAAGUUGUGACUUCCUCUCUUCCCUACAUUCACCUGCCAGCAACUGUGGUCAUACUAUAACCACUUCAGACAGAAGAUUCAGGAUCUGAAAGAUAAGUUUCUGCAAGUUUCAUGAAAACUAGUGACUUUGCUGAAGCAAGAGGUUGUGACUUGUCCUCAGUGCAAAAAUUGCCAGGUAAGAGGAUAUAUUCUGUUUGGCCUGCCACUUGAAUGUUGAACAUGAACCUGUUUGCUAGUUGGCAUAUGUACAUAGCUUUAAAAUACCUACAGCCAAUGCUACAUCAUGCCAGCUUGCAGCCAGGGAAAGGAAGCAUGGGAUAUGAAGGGAAGGUGGAGAGGGACUAGGAAGAAGCAUGGGGUACAUUGGAGCUAUUACUGUCAUGGCUGAGGAAUGGGUGGACUUAACAGGUCCAUUGGAUAUGAAGGGAAAUUAACAGCAUUGACUCUGAUAAAUGGGAUUUUUGCUGUCAGUAGUGUGUAAAUCCACAGGAAAGGUGGCACCAUUUAUUCUACUUGUCUUGGAACAACCUGUUUGUUACCAUUAAAAGAUUGGACCUUUUUGUUUCAUAACUGAGCAGAACGCUUCUGGGCAUCUGAGCUGGCCUAGCUGUUACAAGCUGCCUUAGCCUGCCUCUAAAUUUGCAGUCUGGUGGAUUCUUCUUUAUCCAGCCUAAUUCCAGUUUCAGUUUCUCUGCUGAGUUUGCCUAGAAAGUCUACUGUUUUCCUGCCAGGUCUGAAGGUAAGAAUAAGCUUGCCACAGGGAAAUUUUUGUUUGAAAUAGAAACACAAGAAAUUUUUACCAAGAUGGGGCAUGGUAAAUAGACAGGAC